rnacentral:rRNA from 1 species
CUCACUCAGUAAUGAUUCCCGUAGGGAACUGCGGAGGGAUCAUU